CAGUAGCCGCGGGAAUACAGAGGGUGCGAGCGUUAAUCGGAUUUACUGGGCGUAAAGCGUGCGUAGGCGGCUUUUUAAGUCGGAUGUGAAAUCCCUGAGCUUAACUUAGGAAUUGCAUUCGAUACUGGGAAGCUAGAGUAUGGGAGAGGAUGGUGGAAUUCCCGGUGUAGCGGUGAAAUGCGUAGAGAUCGGGAGGAACAUCAGUGGCGAAGGCGGCCAUCUGGGACAACACUGACGCUGAGGCACGAAAGCGUGGGGAGCAAACAGGAUUAGAUACCCCAGUAGUCCCUGUCUCUUAUAA
rnacentral:rRNA from 1 species